rnacentral:rRNA from 1 species
UUGAAAUCCGGCCCCCGGCCCGAGUUGUAAUUUGCAGAGGAUGCUUCCGGCGCGGCGCCUUCCGAGUUCCCUGGAACGGGACGCCACAGAGGGUGAGAGCCCCGUCCGGUCGGACGCCAAGCCGGUGUGAAGCUCCUUCGACGAGUCGAGUAGUUUGGGAAUGCUGCUCAAAACGGGAGGUAUAUGUCUUCUAAAGCUAAAUACCGGCCAGAGACCGAUAGCGCACAAGUAGAGUGAUCGAAAGAUGAAAAGCACUUUGGAAAGAGGGUUAAAAAGUACGUGAAAUUGUUGAAAGGGAAGCGCCCGUGACCAGACUCGGGCCCGGCGGAUCACCCGGCGUUCUCGCCGGGGCACUCCGCCGGGCGCGGGCCAGCAUCAGCUCGGCGCGGGGGACAAAGGCUCUGGGAACGUGGCUCCCCCGGGAGUGUUAUAGCCCACCGCGCAAUGCCCCGCGCCGGACUGAGGUACGCGCACCGCAAGGAUGCUGGCGUAAUGGUCACCGGCGACCCGUCUUGAAACACGGACCAAGGAGUCGUCUUCGUAUGCGAGUGUUCGGGUGUCAAACCCCUACGCGGAAUGAAAGUGAACGCAGGUGGGAGCCUCGGCGCACCACCGACCGAUCCCGAUGUUCUCGGACGGAUUUGAGUAGGAGCAUACGGGGCCGGACCCGAAAGAAGGUGAACUAUGCCUGUGUAGGGUGAAGCCAGAGGAAACUCUGGUGGAGGCUCGCAGCGGUUCUGACGUGCGAAUCGAUCGUCAAACAUGGGCAUGGGGGGCGAAAGACUAAUCGAACCUUCUAGUAGCUGGUUUC